rnacentral:rRNA from 1 species
UGAGUAACGCGUAAAGAACUUGCCUUACAGACUGGGACAACAUUUGGAAACGAAUGCUAAUACCGGAUAUUAUGAUUGGGUCGCAUGAUCUGGUUAUGAAAGCUAUAUGCGCUGUGAGAGAGCUUUGCGUCCCAUUAGUUAGUUGGUGAGGUAACGGCUCACCAAGACGAUGAUGGGUAGCCGGCCUGAGAGGGUGAACGGCCACAAGGGGACUGAGACACAGCCCUUACUCCUACGGGAGGCAGCAGUGGGGAAUAUUGGACAAUGGACCAAAAGUCUGAUCCAGCAAUUCUGUGUGCACGAAGAAGUUUUUCGGAAUGUAAAGUGCUUUCAGUUGGGAAGAAGUCAGUGACGGUACCAACAGAAGAAGCGACGGCUAAAUACGUGCCAGCAGCCGCGGUAAUACGUAUGUCGCAAGCGUUAUCCGGAUUUAUUGGGCGUAAAGCGCGUCUAGGCGGCUUAGUAAGUCUGAUGUGAAAAUGCGGGGCUCAACCCCGUAUUGCGUUGGAAACUGCUAAACU